UCGGCAUUCGGCAUGUUACAGGUUUGGAACUAAACUAAGUACUGUAUAUACGAUAAUGGAAAAAACAACAAAAGCUUUUCUUCUUCUAAGUUGGCUUCACAUACUCCUAUGUCUAUCGACUCUAUCCUGUCAGGUUCGUGUCACAGAGGCUAGAUUCCGUCACUUAGGUCAGUCUCUUCUUAUUCCAAAUAUCUCUUUCACAUAAAAAGAUUUACUAAUAUAAUAUGACUUGUGUGUUAAAAGGUAUAUGUGCAAAACCUUCCCCAUCAUGUGGAGAUUCUCAGGGAAGCCAUCAAGUUAAUGGACAACAAGAUAAGCCUUGUAAACGCAUUCCAAGACCACCUCCUCCUAGAGACUGCUAGCAACGUUAUAUCGUUAGGUUCGACCAAGAUUUUCAACAGAAGCUUCUCAUCUUUUCUUUCAAAGAAUCAUGUUUACAAUGUAAAAUAAAUAAAUAAAAAACCAAGCUACUAGAGGUUAUAUAUAGUUUGUUUUAUAUUCGAUCAAACAUUCAUACAUACACAUAGGAAAAUCUAAAUUCAUGAACAUGUGUGAUGUGGC
rnacentral:lncRNA from 1 species